UCUUAUCUCUAUGAAGAUAUUUGUUAAUGUCUUGGAACAUUUUCUUCUGCUCUCUGAACUAACUCUGUUUCCUUUGUUUUUUUUUUUCUAGUUAUCUGUAUUAGUCUGUCUCUCAUUUCAGGAGAGCUGUAACAUGCCAUUAUUGCAGGAAGAUGCACUGAAAAGCUGAGUAAAAACUUUUGUGUUGAUGUAUGGAAUUGCUAACUAUUGGGUUUUUACAAAGGUUGCUAUGUUGGCAAGACAACUUUUGCACUAAGGAAGUAUUCAAAUCUUUGUAUACAGAGGUCUUUUCUCUGAGGUCUUUAAUUUUACCAUAUAAAAAUCUUCUGGAUUCCUACAUGAAGGAUUUAAACCAGAUGCAAGCAUUCUGGAAAGAGGCCAAUGGAAGGAGGCUUUGAUUCCACUGUUCCAGAUGCUGAUUUUUAUUUUAUCUCUGUUUGCAGCUCUAUGUCUCCACUGUGCUUGAUGUCUCCAUGUCUAAAACCUAUCAGCUUCCAUUCCUUCUGAGAAUAAACCUCAUGAGUGUUAUGGAGUGGGGGAACAAUAGUCAUUAAUUUGUAAAGUAGGAGGAGAAAUUGGAUGUUUAAUUGCUAUGUAUACAGACUUUUAACCAUUUCCUCUGUUUUUAGUACUGCAUCACACUUUCACCUUCCAAAGUGCUUUGUACCUCCAAUUUCUAAAUCUUUCCCAGUUCUAUGGUGGAGAUGAUGGUUUAUUUCUUGGAGGAAUUCAAACUAUUGCUGCUUCUCCUCUUUCAGAGCUGGGGAUUGAAGUCAGAGCCUCAUGCAUGCAAGCAAUCUACCACUGAGAUACAUUCCCAGCCUCCAAGUAUUUUGUGGUGCCAGGUAUUGAACCAAGGGCAUCACAUAUAUAGUGGUAUAACAUGGAACAGCAUCCUCAGCCAAUUUUUAUAUUUAAACUAUUCUGAGUCUUGUGGAGAAAUGAAUUAAACAGACACCAUCAAAAGAAGAAAUACAAAUUGCCAACAGAUAUAUGAAAAACUUUUCAAAGUCUUUAUCCAUAAGGGAAAUGCAAAUGAAAACAUUCUGAAUGUCUACAGUCAGAAUGGCAAUUAACAAAUGUAAGUAACAAUAAAUGCUGACAAAGGAACUGUUAUACACUGUUGUUCAGAAUAUAAAAUUAGUAUAGCCACUAUGGAAAUCAGUAUGGAGGUUCCAUGAAAAACUGAAAAUGUAACUACCUUAUGACCCAGUUAUACCACUCCUUGGUAUUUAUCCAAAAGAAGUGGAGUGCUUUAGAGACAUACACAUUCCCAUGUUUAU